CUUGGAGAAAAAUCACUGGCUAUUGAAGCAGCUGCACCUAUUUUUAGUCAAAUAACAUUUUGGUAAUUUUUGCAUCCAACAGUGGAGUUUUGAAGGUAAUUCAUGUCCAGGUCAGAUCCAGCUUUUCUUUGUGCUCCCUUCAAGUCAAAACAGACAGAGGCACCAUCAGGGUAUCCUUUGGGUCUUCUGGAUUUGGUUAAGUGAAUUUUCUCUGCUGGUUAUUCUUCCUCAAGUACAAAUGGAGCUGAAGGUGAUUAGUAGGGAACUAAACACUAAGUUUCAGAUGCCUGAGUCAUGGCUGGUGAACCUUGCCUACACUGAACUGCUGAAUGGAACAGCUUGCGGGCUCCUCAGUGCCCAUCUCCCCAGAAGACUCAGCCAGCUCAAAAAUGGCUUGAAAGCCACUCUUCCACUUCAUGACUGUGAAGAUUGCAGGUACUUUCCCCUCUGCCUGGGGAUGUUGUUAUAAGGCAGCAAAGGCCCGUUUUACUGCCAUAAUGAGUUAAUUAACUCCAUUUUCCCACAGUGAAGGUGAGCAAAGACCGUGUGAGCCACAUGCGCUAUGUUGAGAAAUAGAGCUUUUCUCCCAUGUUCUUGCUGUGCCUACAGUGAUAGGGCUAAGGAAAGCAGCUGUCUUUUCAGAAGGGAAAUUGUACUCCUGAAUUGUUUCCAAUGGCCUGGAUUGUUCUUUUGGUUUCUAACUAAACUUGCUUCAUUAGAAGAAAUUCCUGUUGCGAAUUGCCUCUUUCCCUCACCAAGCCCUCGUGAAUCAUCUACGAGGCAGCAAUACGGCGCUGCUACCGUGCUGAGCGCAGCAGCUGCCAGGCUGCUCAUGGUGCCUGCAACAAGACGAUGCCCAAUGUGGGCAUUCUGCAGCAUUCUUGGGUCAUUUCUGCCACUUCAGUAAUUCUGCCUUCCAUCUUCCCUGCCCCCAGAUGGAUUCAAAGAUACGACACUCAAGUCCUGCAAGUUUUCCAUGUACUUUUUUUAUAGCAGUGUCGCCUAUGACAAGAUGUGUAAAAGCUUCUGCAAAUGAGGAAGCUGUCGUUCUGUGAUGCAGUCUGCAGAGGAAGAAGUUCACUCACCACUUUUGGUGCUUGGCUCCUCCACUGAGGAUUCAACAUCUCGCAGCUUCGAUUCCUGCGAAGCACUCUCAAAAUAUUUGUCACAGACUGCGACUGCUUGAAAUCUACGGGAGCGUCACAAGCUGUGUGAGACAGCAUGCCAGCAUGCUUGUGAAAAAAUCCCUUCUGGAUGCUUGUCACUUCUCUGCUUAGCAUUUUUACCUUUGGCACGUCCUUGACCUUGCAUUUACCCCCAUGGCACUUACCACUUCCUUGCUCAGCUGCAGACCUCGUUGGCUGGCUCCGAUGCUGCUGCACAAGACGCAAUCUGGCAGCAAGACAGUAACCUCACUGAGGAAGAGAUGUGCUGAUUUCAUCUGACAUUGGCACAUGAAUUCGCUUAAAAUAUCAAAGACAGAAUCCAUUGACGUAGAUGUUUUUGAAGGCCCGUUUGCACGACUUCAGAGAAGUUUGUCAGAUAGAUGUUUUUCUCUGACCACUGUAGGAAAAUUCUGUUUGAUCAUGAAGGAGUCACUGCUACUCGUGCUGCAACACUGGGGUUUGGGAUUAAGGGUUGUGAAAUCAGUGUGCCAGUGCUCCACAACUGAUGUUUUGCAAGCCACCCAUCUGGCUGCUGAACUGCUCUGGCCACUGCUUUCACAGCACCAGCGACUGCCGAGUCUCCUUUCUUACCUUUCUUUCUUUCACAGCAACCAGUUCAUGCUGAAAGCUGAAGUGAGGAUGAGGCGAUCUGGGCAGCUCCUCCUGAAGGCACUUUUGGGACUUUCCUCUGGGUUGUGUCAGGCUGCAGAGUACUUUCCUGUACCUGGAGAAAUAAGAUUCGAGGGGAUAGAUUCUAAUGCAAACUCACUGGAUGCUGCCAAGCUGCAGUAGAAUGGAGGUGCAUUCCUGAAGAUCUGUCAGAAGAAUGAAUGAACAAAAAUGGGAAGUGUUUUGGUGGGUCAGAAAUACUGGAUGAUCACUGGAAACUACAAUUUGUGAUGAUCAGUCAGCUGCUACGAAAUUCAUUGUGCUCCCGCAGUUAUCCCCAGAGCCACCCUUCCAUCCUUCACAGUGACCUCCAUAGGAUGACUGAACAUCACCUUUGCUCUUUCUCCAGCUUCCAAGUGAUCAGCACUGGUUAAAAUCAGUGCUUUGAGAGAUCUGAUUGAAGCAGGAGCCAACACUGUAAGAUAACAUGGGUGACAUUUGAGGAGCAUGGUUUAAUUGACAUGGGUGAUGGGUUGAUGACUAGAAUAGAUGAUCUCAGUAGUCUUAACCCAACCGGAAUGAUUCUAUGAUAAGAUGUAUAAAGAGGUAUAUUGCCCAUCAUUCAGUCUCCAAGGAGGUAAACCCAGAUGAACUCAGUCAUCUCUUAGCCUGGGGCUGCUUCCUCUGGAAAGGAUGAGUCCCUUCCUUGCUUUUUGAUGGGCUGAGGCACAAAACCUCAGGGAUGGGCUGAGCGGGUUGCCUGCUGCUCUGCUGGGCUUCGGGUUUCAAGGAGGCUUUACAUCAUGGGUAAUCCACUGCUUACGGGGACACUGAGGAGAAAGGGUCUAUAUAAGGUCAGACUGUUGUCUGUUUUUGCACUCCUGAUUUAGUCUGAAUAUGAAGAAACUCAAACUCAUUAGAUUCACAUGAUGAAGCAGCAAAGAAAGUGCCUAUUUAUGGAGGUUAAGGAGAAUCCAGAGAUAUGCAGAUUGCUGUUAUCUGCCUGAAUAGUGCCUCCUGACAUCACGAGGGGCUGAAAAGACUUGUUCAGGAGCAGUGGUGACGGCAGCUCUGACUGGCUGUACUGAAGCCUUAACAUAGCACUUCCAGCAUCCAGAGCUACCUUUCUUGUCUUCUGUUACAGGGGUCUACCGUCUUAAUUUGCAGUAAGUUUCAUGCACAGAGAGAAGACUGUUGUUGGGUUUUGUGACAAAAGCGCGUUUCUUGCUAGUUUUGAGAGUGGAUUUUCAGUAUUCUGUAGAGGUUUUACCAAGACUAAGAUAAUAAGCAAGAGUGAAACAAAAAGUAGUGAGAAAGGUUUCACUGAAAAAAAAAAAAGUAUAGGAAGAUAUCGACUGAAAGGAAAACACAUUUGGCAGAUGUAGAAAAACAACAAUCUGUCCUGCUUUUCUGCACCAGAUUUCAAAUGUAUGUUGCCAUUUUGCAACCAAACCGCACAAGGCUCAAAUUGUUCACAAACCCACGUACAUUAAGGAAUUACAUAUAAUUUGUUUUUCUUUUGACUCCCAAGUCCAUGUUUGAAUGUAGCCAUCGGUAGCCAUCAUCUCUCCUGAGUGCUCCUAGGCAAAGUACUAGCAAGGGGUGCAGUGGGGCCUUGGCAUUUCAUUCUGUGGGUCACGGGAGAGCAGCUGUCUGCCCAACCCCUCACCUUGCCCAGAGUCCCUGGCUUCCUCCUCGUUUCCUCAGAAGUAAAGGCUGACCCUUGGCUUUGCUGAGAGCACCGUGGGUAAGCUCAGAGACUAUGGAAAUGAGGUUACUUCCAUCUGAUCCUAGACGAGGUUCAGUCUUCAGAGCUUGGCAAAUGCAAAAUUGCAACUGCUGGUGGCUCUUCUUACCUGCUUCCAUGCAGCUACAAAGCACGCUUCUGUUCUUAGGAAGAUCCUAGGCUGGCACCUACCUGGUUUGAAACCAGCCUCCUCACAGAGCAGGGCUGUGUUUAAACUGUUAAUGAACACGGUCCCAGCAGACAAGCAUUACUUAUACCCAUUUUACAGAGAGGUAAACAGAAGCACAGAGCUACCGGGUAUGGCAGCAGGAGAGUACAGCUGGGACGUCUUCCUUCUGGUGCAGCCCCUUGGCCUCGCUGCAUUUCUGGUGUGGCCCUACCAUAAGCAUAUCCAUGCGUGGGAUGUACCUUACCUACUGAGCAUCCUGUCCCAACACCGCCUUCUUUAAUGCCUUACUUACCAGCAGAGUAGGAAUACAUACAUAUAUGUCAAAACACUGCCUUGCUAUUAUUGCCUAACCACGUCUCCAUCUAUAUAAAUCUAGAGUAGAAUGUAUAUAA